AGCUGCGUGGUGAGCACAGAGCGAACUAUUCUUUCGCCUUUUACUAAAGAAUACCGUGUGCUCGCCACAAACUAGCAGCAUACCCUAAUUUUUUUAGGGUGUCCCUAAACAGAAGGACC
rnacentral:snRNA from 1 species